UGAUAUCAGGCAACUCGGUCC
rnacentral:miRNA from 1 species